CUUAGUGGCAGACGGGUGAGUAACAUGUGGGUAUCUACCCUUUGGCCUGGAAUAACACGAGGAAACUUGUGCUAAUACCGGAUAAGUCUUUACGGAGAAAGCUUUAUGCACCAUUGGAUGAGCCCGCACUUGAUUAGUUUGUUGGUAGGGUAAUGGCCUACCAAGACUAUGAUCAAUAGCUGAUUUGAGAGGAUGAUCAGCCACAUUGGGACUGAGACACGGCCCAAACUCCUACGGGAGGCAGCAGUGGGGAAUCUUGCACAAUGGAGGAAACUCUGAUGCAGCGAUGCCGCGUGAGUGAAGAAGGCCUUUGGGUUGUAAAGCUCUUUCGUCGGGGAAGAAAAUGACUGUACCCGAAUAAGAAAGUCCGGCUAACUUCGUGCCAGCAGCCGCGGUAAUACGAAGGGACCUAGCGUAGUUCGGAAUUACUGGGCUUAAAGAGUUCGUAGGUGGUUGAAAAAGUUGGUGGUGAAAUCCCAGAGCUUAACUCUGGAACUGCCAU
rnacentral:rRNA from 1 species